rnacentral:rRNA from 1 species
CCCUUAGAGUUUGAUCCUGGCUCAGGACGAACGCUGGCGGCGUGCUUAACACAUGCAAGUCGAACGAUGAUGCCCAGCUUGCUGGGCGGAUUAGUGGCGAACGGGUGAGUAGCACGUGAGUAACCUGCCCCUGACUCUGGGAUAAGCGUUGGAAACGACGUCUAAUACUGGAUAUGAUCACCGGCCGCAUGGUCUGGUGGUGGAAAGAUUUUUUGGUUGGGGAUGGACUCGCGGCCUAUCAGCUUGUUGGUGAGGUAAUGGCUCACCAAGGCGACGACGGGUAGCCGGCCUGAGAGGGUGACCGGCCACACUGGGACUGAGACACGGCCCAGACUCCUACGGGAGGCAGCAGUGGGGAAUAUUGCACAAUGGGCGAAAGCCUGAUGCAGCAACGCCGCGUGAGGGAUGACGGCCUUCGGGUUGUAAACCUCUUUUAGUAGGGAAGAAGCGAAAGUGACGGUACCUGCAGAAAAAGCACCGGCUAACUACGUGCCAGCAGCCGCGGUAAUACGUAGGGUGCAAGCGUUGUCCGGAAUUAUUGGGCGUAAAGAGCUCGUAGGCGGUUUGUCGCGUCUGCUGUGAAAUCCCGAGGCUCAACCUCGGGCUUGCAGUGGGUACGGGCAGACUAGAGUGCGGUAGGGAGAUUGGAAUUCCUGGUGUAGCGGUGGAAUGCGCAGAUAUCAGGAGGAACACCGAUGGCGAAGGCAGAUCUCUGGGCCGUAACUGACGCUGAGGAGCGAAAGCAUGGGGAGCGAACAGGAUUAGAUACCCUGGUAGUCCAUGCCGUAAACGUUGGGCGCUAGAUGUAGGGACCUUUCCACGGUUUCUGUGUCGUAGCUAACGCAUUAAGCGCCCCGCCUGGGGAGUACGGCCGCAAGGCUAAAACUCAAAGGAAUUGACGGGGGCCCGCACAAGCGGCGGAGCAUGCGGAUUAAUUCGAUGCAACGCGAAGAACCUUACCAAGGCUUGACAUACACCGGAAACGGCCAGAGAUGGUCGCCCCCUUGUGGUCGGUGUACAGGUGGUGCAUGGUUGUCGUCAGCUCGUGUCGUGAGAUGUUGGGUUAAGUCCCGCAACGAGCGCAACCCUCGUUCUAUGUUGCCAGCGGGUUAUGCCGGGGACUCAUAGGAGACUGCCGGGGUCAACUCGGAGGAAGGUGGGGAUGACGUCAAAUCAUCAUGCCCCUUAUGUCUUGGGCUUCACGCAUGCUACAAUGGCCGGUACAAAGGGCUGCGAUACCGUAAGGUGGAGCGAAUCCCAAAAAGCCGGUCUCAGUUCGGAUUGAGGUCUGCAACUCGACCUCAUGAAGUCGGAGUCGCUAGUAAUCGCAGAUCAGCAACGCUGCGGUGAAUACGUUCCCGGGCCUUGUACACACCGCCCGUCAAGUCAUGAAAGUCGGUAACACCCGAAGCCGGUGGCCUAACCCUUGUGGAAGGAGCCGUCGAAGGUGGGAUCGGUGAUUAGGACUAAGUCGUAACAAGGUAACCAAGGG